AUACACAUACAGGUGUAUUCAACUUCAGUCGCAAUGCUUCUGACGGCAAUUGUAUCGGUCUUCUUGUUCGGCUUCAAUCUAUCCCUUGCAUUCUUCCUCGGGUCUGCGGUAGUUUCAAUCUCCGUGUAUCUGCAUUCUGUUGGGAAGCCACAGCAGCAGAAAUGA
rnacentral:rRNA from 1 species